rnacentral:rRNA from 1 species
UACGAAGGGUGCAAACGUUGCUCGGAAUUAUUGGGCGUAAAGGGCGCGUAGGCGGCGUGACAAGUCACUUGUGAAAUCUCCGGGCUUAACUCGGAACGGUCAAGUGAUACUGUCGGACUAGAGUACAGAAGGGGCAACUGGAAUUCUCGGUGUAGCGGUGAAAUGCGUAGAUAUCGAGAGGAACACCUGCGGCGAAGGCGGGUUGCUGGGCUGAUACUGACGCUGAGGCGCGAAAGCCAGGGGAGCGAACGGG